CUUAUCCACUCGCCCACCCCAGCCAACGCUCACCUUUUCCCCUUUCUUCACGUCACAAGCGGCGGAGACGAGCUCCUGUGGGGUGGCUGCCCUGCAAGUGUCACCGGAGACCGCGGCGGGAGGAGCUCGCGCGGUGGACGCCUCGGCGGCGUGGGGAUGAGCUCGCGCGGUGGACGCCUCAGCGGCGCGGGGAGGAGCUCGCGCGGUGGACGCCUCAGCGGCGCGGGGAGGAGCUCGUGCGGUGGACGCCUCGUCGGCGCAAUGAGGAGCUUGCGCGAUGGAGGCCUCGGUGGUGUGGGGAAUGAGGUCGUGCCCGCGGCAGAGGAGCUCGCGCGGUGGACGCCCCCGGCGGAGUUCUUGCGUGGCCGUGACCGGGAGGAGCUUGUACGGUGGAUGCCCCAGCGGCGCGGGGAGGAGCUCAUCCCCGCGGCGGAGGAGCUCGUGUGUGGCCUCGGCGGGGCGGAGGAGCACGACAGGUCCCUGGCGGCGGGUUGAAUCCCUCCGCGUGCUCCUCACUGGCGUGAGCCCAUGCCGCCGCGAUUUCUGGUCCGCGCGACCGGCUGGAGGUGCGGUCGUGGGCGGGGGCCGAGCGCGGCCUGCUCGCUUGCGCCGUCGCGGCGGGCGUCGAGGCCGUCCCCCUCCGCGAGACCUUCGCCGACGCUGACCAUCCGGCCUCCGACCCGCUCCAGGGUACCCCUUCCUCCGCAAGCUCGUCCCUGAACCGGUCAAGGUGCCGCCAUGGGCAGACGCCGAGCGCGCCUGCUCGCCCACGCCGACGCGGCCGGCGUCGGGUCUGCCUCUAUUCGCGUGGUCCUCGCCGCUGUGGCCAGCACCAGGCGCAGUGCUCGAAUGUGAACGAAGCCAGUGACCGAGGUGCUGCUCGCCUUCGUGACCAGCACCAGGCGCGCGCUCCGGGGGUGAACUACAAGGCCUUCAGCCGCACCAUCGAGCCGCACAACUUCAUUUACACGCAGGUAGCAUCCCGUAUCUGCAGGCUGCCAAGGUGUUCUGAUCCUGUACCUGCACGUAGCAUCCUACUCACCCCUUCUGUUCAUUUUUUUCAGUUCAUCAACCUUCAAAAUUGCCAUGUCUUUGUCCGAGUAUAGACACAUCACAAUUUCGUAAUUACACUCUCACUUUUAUUUCUUGAGUAACCGUACUAGUAAACGCAUGGCGAUUGAAAAGCAUAUUUGCCAUGGCAACCAAAAUCAUGUGAACUUUUGUUAAGUUUUAUAGAUGAUGUUGCCAUGCCAACUAAAGCAUAUGCUUGCCAUGAUGGCAACCUAUUCAUCGUUUGUUUUUUCAUACUAGUACUAGUAAGAUUGCACGUGCAAUGCACGUAAUCACUCCUUAAUACUCUAUGUUCAAAGUCUCGUUCUCAUGUGUUUAAAUAGACCAUCUUCGUAUUGCAACUCGUGUGUCAAGUUAGAACCUUUUUAUAUUAUCACCGGCCUCUUUCAAACAUCUGAGUUUUUUCCUCAUGGUGCUCGUAGCCUCAUAGUUUGAGUGAUUGUCACUAUCGCACUUGUUCAAGUAAAACCUCUUACACCGGUCAUUCCGCAGUUCAACUCACGCAAGGCAUGCAAUGCGCAAGGGGAACACUUGGCAUCACCGGACGAAUCACAUCGCCUGUGUCAAAAUACUAAUAAGAAUUAUUGACCUUGUCUAAGAAGACUUCGUACACAUCAGAGAGCUUUAACUGAGAUGUUGGUUCCUCAUGACAUUCAUAUUACUAAACAGUAAGAUGUAGCUACCUACAAGCCUCCACAGUGUUUUGACGUCGUCAGCCGUCGGAUCAAACACAGUAGCGAACCAGAUCGAUUCGUCGUCCCAUCGAGCGCUGCAGGUCAUUUUCACCGCGUCGCGCGACGCUUUAGCACACGCAGUCGGGCCGCUGCUCCACGAACCGAGCCAGGCGUCACCUCGUUCAACGGGCCGAUCAACAACCAAAAGCCCAUGUAGCCUAGGCCCUGCCACAAGGGAGAUUCUUCCACCUGUUGUGUGCGUACUCCAUGCCCUCGAAAGAGAAAAAGUUAAGCCGAUCUUCACAGUCCCCCACAAUACGCAGAUUCGGCAAUUAGGCUCAGCGCCAACGGCGAGCGCUGUCGCGUACCUUCCGCUUCAGUUCCUCUCGUCCGCAUCCUUGCUCAGGCAGCCCCUUUUCUUCCAGAUUUUCCCCACUGCUCUUGUUAGGAAGAUGUGCACUAUCAAUUCAUGACUGUAUUUCAGGGCCUCAAUUCAUGACUGUAUGGGCAAACCUAUGUGUGUGACAGAGAGAUAACUUGUAAUUCCAUGCAUUUCUGGGCCUCAAUUCAUGACUGUAUGUGCACUAUCUUUCAAGCUUUCAAGCUUCAAGAUGCAUGCACCACAAUGUGUAUUAUUAUUUUUGAAAAUACCACAAUGUGUAUUUCGUA